rfam:Rhizobium lusitanum strain P1-7 genome assembly, contig: Ga0061101_123
CAAGUCCAUUGCGAUGAAGGAGCAGCGAUCCACAUCGGCCCCGAGUCAUGCGCGGGCAGUCGUGAGGCUCUACGUGAAGUGUCGACAGGGGAGCACCGAAUAAAGCG